rnacentral:rRNA from 1 species
ACGGAAGGCAGCAGUGGGGAAUAUUGCACAAUGGGGGAAACCCUGAUGCAGCGACGCCGCGUGAAGGAUGAAGUAUUUCGGUAUGUAAACUUCUAUCAGCAGGGAAGAUGAUGACGGUACCUGACUAAGAAGCCCCGGCUAACUACGUGCCAGCAGCCGCGGUAAUACGUAGGGGGCAAGCGUUAUCCGGAUUUACUGGGUGUAAAGGGAGCGUAGGCGGCUGAGUAAGUCAGAAGUGAAAGCCCGGGGCUCAACCCCGGGACGGCUUUUGAAACUGCCCGGCUUGAUUUCAGGAGAGGAAAGCGGAAUUCCUAGUGUAGCGGUGAAAUGCGUAGAUAUUAGGAGGAACACCAGUGGCGAAGGCGGCUUUCUGGACUGACAAUGACGCUGAGGCUCGAAAGCGUGGGGAGCAAACAGGAUUAGAUACCCGGUA